GGGAAUUUAGCUCAGCAGCAUAAGCACCUGCCUGGCAAGCAGGUGGUCAUGAGUUCGAUUCCCGGUACUGGUCA
rfam:Cavia porcellus supercont2_44 genomic scaffold, whole genome shotgun sequence.